rnacentral:rRNA from 1 species
GACGAACGCUGGCGGCGUGCUUAACACAUGCAAGUCGAACGGAAAGGCCCUGCUUUUGUGGGGUGCUCGAGUGGCGAACGGGUGAGUAACACGUGAGUAACCUGCCCUUGACUUUGGGAUAACUUCAGGAAACUGGGGCUAAUACCGGAUAGGAGCUCCUGCUGCUUGGUGGGGGUUGGAAAGUUUCGGCGGGUGGGGAUAGACUCGCGGCUUAUCAGCUUGUUGGUGGGGUAGGGGCUUACCAAGGCUUUGACGGGUAGCCGGCCUGAGAGGGUGACCGGCCACAUUGGGACUGGGAUACGGCCCAGACUCCAACGGGAGGCAGCAGUGGGGAAUAUUGCACAAUGGGCGGAAGCCUGAUGCAGCAACGCCGCGUGCGGGAUGACGGCCUUCGGGUUGUAAACCGCUUUCGCCUGUGACGAAGCGUGAGUGACGGUAAUGGGUAAAGAAGCACCGGCUAACUACGUG